rnacentral:lncRNA from 10 species
ACCUUGAUCUCCUGCGUGGCCUCGUCCCUGGUCUUAGUUCCACCGGGCAGCGGGAGUCAGGACCGCCUGUCCUCAGACCCCUCCGCAGCGACUGUGGCGGCCGCAGGUUGGCGCCUCGUGUGGGCCGGGAACAGAGGCGGGAGGCGCUGUACCCUCCCGGUGGAGUCGGGAGGGAGGGAGGCAGGGAAGGGGACAGGGGGCUGCACCUGUGAUAAGCCCUUGUCCCCAUGCAGUCUAGCAGGAAAGGAGAGGGAGCUUUCCCCGAAGACCCUCCUGGACCAGCCCCAGGCUCCUGUGCUGGUGAGGCCGAGGGAGAGGGAUGUGGGCAUAGGACACGUAGCAGGAUUUCCAUUUUAGAGGCAGCCGGACCUGUCUUCAGGUCCCUUCCUUGGUGAGAGACAGGGGUACGCCAGAGGAAGCUGGGCGCUCGGCCUCUGUGCAGCCUCAUCUCCUGGAAUCUGAGUAUUGAAAACUGGGCUUUUACUUCGCACACCUCAGCACAGACUCCCAUGGGAAUCCAGGUCACAGCAAAGCAGCCCUGGGCCUCCAUUCUCCUUUAAGCAAGCAUGACAAUCCUCACUUCACUGAGUUUUUAUUAAAACUAGCAAUGACCUUAGAAAGCAAGGCAUGACCUCAGCUCCACUUUUGAGGCUGCAGUCCAUUCAGAGAGGUUUCGCAGACUCGGUAACGGCCAGAACAGACAGCCUGGGCCCUGCCGCAGGCUGACUCAGAAUCUUUGGGAGUAGUGACCAACUUCUGCUUUUGGAAAAACCUCUACAGGCGGUUCUGAGAAGUCCAAGGGUUGCUGGGAGAGGUUGGUUGCACGCCAGGGCCUGUACUGACCACC